rnacentral:rRNA from 1 species
AUUGAACGCUGGCGGCAGGCCUAACACAUGCAAGUCGAGCGAGCGGCGGACGGGUGAGUAAUGUAUGGGGACUGCCCGAUAGAGGGGGAUAACUACUGGAAACGGUAGCUAAUACCGCAUACUAUCGGAUAACCCAUAUGGGAUUAGCUAGUAGGUGAGGUAAUGGCUCACCUAGGCGACGAUCCCUAGCUGGUCUGAGAGGAUGGUCGGCUGAACGGGGACAGAAAAACGGCCCAGAUUACUGCGGAGGCAGCAGUGGGAAAUAUUGCACGAUGGGCGCAAGCCUGAUGCAGCCAUGCAGCGUGUAUGAUGAAGGACCUAGGGUUGUAAAGUACUUUAAGUCGGGAGGCGUUAACGACAGAAGAAGAACCGGCUAACUCCGUGCCAGCAGCCGCGGUAAUAC